GGUACUAUAGUGUAGCGGUUAUCACUUGGGAUUCUGACUGAAGGUUCCCAAAACCCAGGUUCGAUUCCUGGUAGUACCU